GGUUAUGUGUGGACUGAAAAUGAGAGGGCCAAAAUAAAGGAGAGGAUUGAUAAAUUUGUCAAAGAAAAGUUGUUGUACUUCUGUGAUGUUCUUAAUAUUCAGAUAAACAAGGCCAAUGCAAAAAAGGAGGAGCUGUCUACAAAGUAGUUGGAAUUUUUGGAGUCCCCACAUGCUACAACUGACAUUCUACUUGUUGAUAUAGAG